GACAGGAAGUGGGUGUGUCCUACAAGGGAGUAGCUGCAACAGGAAGUGACCACAAUUAGGCCAGCCAGACAUCAACCGCAUAACAUUCGUUCUUGUUCUUCUCCUGUGAGCAUUUCUAUGUCAUCUACUGCAAGUUCUGGGAGCUCGACCUGGACGGCGACCUCGCCAUAGACUGGCACACCAAGGGGGAGGUGGUUGUGGCCUGACGUGUGGAGUGGGCGUGGCCUCCGCCUCAAUGGGCGUGGUCUCCAUCACCCUGACCCCGCCCUGCCCUUGCAGCCAUCUCUUCCUGGAUGAUAGACUGCGUCUUCUCUCUCCGGUGCUGUCACCCAGUGAGCAGCCUGGGAGGUCGGAUCACGCUUUGUGGCCUGAAGCGCUUGAGCCUGGCAGGUGCCUGGAGGGGUUCUUCCCUCAAGUCUGAGAUGACAGCAGCACAGCAAAGAUAAGAGGCUACAUAAAAUAAGG
rnacentral:lncRNA from 1 species